GCCUAGUGCCUGAAGAGCCUCUAGCCCUCUGGCUGUUAUGUUGACCUCAGUAGCUGAACUUACCUUUUCUGGACUUGAUGUAGGAGGAAAAAAGCACAUAAAAUACAAAUCUUUCUACAUCAAAGUGGCAGCAGAGGAGUUAGAGUUCUAAAUAUUCUCUGAUUUGGAAUGGUGUUCCACUAGCAUGAAACCAACACUUCAUCAAAGUGGCCUGCUUCAAUCGAGGCUGUCCCGGCGAGAUAUAAAUUAUAAAUCAUAUCUUCUGUUUUACAUGGGAAAUGGGAGCUUGCAGGUGGAUCGUCUUUCAACAGAUGGGCUUAAGUUCCUUGGCUGUUCCUCUGCCAGAAUCUGCACCUGUCAGACACAUAUCCUGAAGACCUAUACGCCUGAGUCUCUCAACAGCAGUAACCUCCAAGAGGACAACGACUGUGUGAUUAGUGCUGUGCCUAAACAGCCCAGUUCUUUUCUCCUCCCAGCACACAGUAUGACUGCAUUUGCAUUUCCCCCUUAACACGAGGAACAGGCAAUGAAAUGAAUUAGGAACAGGGAGUGGCAUGUCACUUCUGGGAUAAAGCUUUCUGAACAAGUGCACAAUUUACCAUGUCCUUUUUCCACUGCUGCAGAAAUAUAGAAGCACCUAUUGAAUGUGGGUCUCUGAAUGACUUGGAAGUAAAUCCUCCUGAUGACCAGAGAUGGACCUGUAAAAUGAAAGGCAAAUCAGCUCACUGUUUUACUUUUCUGAACUUUCUGGUUACUGCAGCAGGGCCCAGCCUCUCCUGACUAAUACAUAUGACUUACUUGCUUUUCCAGUUUCUUGGAACCAUAAUCAUACCUCACAAAU